rnacentral:rRNA from 1 species
GACGAACGCUGGCGGCGUGCUUAACACAUGCAAGUCGAACGGAAAGGCCCUGCUUUUGUGGGGUGCUCGAGUGGCGAACGGGUGAGUAACACGUGAGUAACCUGCCCUUGACUUUGGGAUAACUUCGGGAAACUGGGGCUAAUACCGGAUAGGAGCUCCUGCUGCAUGGUGGGGGUUGGAAAGUUUCGGCGGUUGGGGAUGGACUCGCGGCUGAUCAGCUUGUUGGUGGGGUAGUGGCUUACCAAGGCUGUGACGGGUAGCCGGCCUGGGAGGGUGACCGGCCACAUUGGGACUGAGAUACGGCGCAGACUCCUACGGGAGGCAGCAGUGGGGAAUGUUGCACAAUGGGCGGAAGCCUGAUGCAGCAACGCCGCGUGCGGGAUGACGGCCUUCGGGUUGUAAACCGCAUUCGCCUGUGACGAAGCGUGAGUGACGGUAAUGGGUAAAGAAGCACCGGCUAACUACGUG